AGAGUUUGAUCAUGGCUCAGAUUGAACGCUGGCGGCAGGCCUAACACAUGCAAGUCGAGCGGAUGAAGAGAGCUUGCUCUCUGAUUCAGCGGCGGACGGGUGAGUAAUGCCUAGGAAUCUGCCUGGUAGUGGGGGACAACGUCUCGAAAGGGACGCUAAUACCGCAUACGUCCUACGGGAGAAAGCAGGGGACCUUCGGGCCUUGCGCUAUCAGAUGAGCCUAGGUCGGAUUAGCUAGUUGGUGAGGUAAUGGCUCACCAAGGCGACGAUCCGUAACUGGUCUGAGAGGAUGAUCAGUCACACUGGAACUGAGACACGGUCCAGACUCCUACGGGAGGCAGCAGUGGGGAAUAUUGGACAAUGGGCGAAAGCCUGAUCCAGCCAUGCCGCGUGUGUGAAGAAGGUCUUCGGAUUGUAAAGCACUUUAAGUUGGGAGGAAGGGCAUUAACCUAAUACGUUAGUGUUUUGACGUUACCGACAGAAUAAGCACCGGCUAACUCUGUGCCAGCAGCCGCGGUAAUACAGAGGGUGCAAGCGUUAAUCGGAAUUACUGGGCGUAAAGCGCGCGUAGGUGGUUCGUUAAGUUGGAUGUGAAAGCCCCGGGCUCAACCUGGGAACUGCAUUCAAAACUGACGAGCUAGAGUAUGGUAGAGGGUGGUGGAAUUUCCUGUGUAGCGGUGAAAUGCGUAGAUAUAGGAAGGAACACCAGUGGCGAAGGCGACCACCUGGACUGAUACUGACACUGAGGUGCGAAAGCGUGGGGAGCAAACAGGAUUAGCUACCCUGGUAGUCCACGCCGUAAACGAUGUCAACUAGCCGUUGGGAGCCUUGAGCUCUUAGUGGCGCAGCUAACGCAUUAAGUUGACCGCCUGGGGAGUACGGCCGCAAGGUUAAAACUCAAAUGAAUUGACGGGGGCCCGCACAAGCGGUGGAGCAUGUGGUUUAAUUCGAAGCAACGCGAAGAACCUUACCAGGCCUUGACAUCCAAUGAACUUUCCAGGGAUGGAUUGGUGCCUUCGGGAACAUUGAGACAGGUGCUGCAUGGCUGUCGUCGGCUCGUGUCGUGAGAUGUUGGGUUAAGUCCCGUAACGAGCGCAACCCUUGUCCUUAGUUACCAGCACGUAAUGGUGGGCACUCUAAGGGGACUGCCGGUGACAAACCGGAGGAAGGUGGGGAUGACGUCAAGUCAUCAUGGCCCUUACGGCCUGGGCUACACACGUGCUACAAUGGUCGGUACAGAGGGUUGCCAAGCCGCGAGGUGGAGCUAAUCCCACAAAACCGAUCGUAGUCCGGAUCGCAGUCUGCAACUCGACUGCGUGAAGUCGGAAUCGCUAGUAAUCGCGAAACAGAAUGUCGCGGUGAAUACGUUCCCGGGCCUCGUACACACCGCCCGUCACACCAUGGGAGUGGGUUGCACCAGAAGUAGCUAGUCUAACCUUCGGGAGGACGGUUACCACGGUGUGAUUCAUGACUGGGGUGAAGUCGUAACAAGGUA
rnacentral:rRNA from 1 species